GAUGAACGCUGGCGGCGUGCCUAAUACAUGCAAGUCGAGCGAACAGACGAGGAGCUUGCUCCUCUGACGUUAGCGGCGGACGGGUGAGUAACACGUGGAUAACCUACCUAUAAGACUGGGAUAACUUCGGGAAACCGGAGCUAAUACCGGAUAAUAUAUUGAACCGCAUGGUUCAAUAGUGAAAGACGGUUUUGCUGUCACUUAUAGAUGGAUCCGCGCCGCAUUAGCUAGUUGGUAAGGUAACGGCUUACCAAGGCAACGAUGCGUAGCCGACCUGAGAGGGUGAUCGGCCACACUGGAACUGAGACACGGUCCAGACUCCUACGGGAGGCAGCAGUAGGGAAUCUUCCGCAAGGGGCGAAAGCGUGACGGAGCAACGCCGCGUGAGUGAUGAAGGUCUACGGAUCGUAAAACUCUGUUAUUAGGGAAGAACAAAUGUGUAAGUAACUAUGCACGUCUUGACGGUACCUAAGCAGAAAGCCACGGCUAACUACGU
rnacentral:rRNA from 1 species